rnacentral:tRNA from 1 species
GUUCCCGUGGCCUAAUGGAUAAGGCGGCGGCCUCCGGAGCCGUAAAUCUGAGUUCGAGUCUCAGCGGGAAUA